CUCCUCUGCGCCGUUUUAACCCAUCUCUCUUCCUCUCCCCAGCCUUCUUCAUGGCCGAGAAGACUCGAGGCCUUCAACCUUUAAUCCCGACCAUCAUACAUAGCAGUAUAGUGACCCAAACCGACACCCAAACUCACCACAACCCUCGCCUUGCCAUACUAACCUCCGAUCUAAGGUCCAAGACACACAAACAGGACUGUAAAAGCCUCACAAAAAAGAUUCCUUGGUCUUUCGGCUUCACUCUCUCGACAACCUCCAUUCUCUAUACCGACGAAAUCAAUGGCAGCAUCUCCAGUGAGUAAGGAACCUAAACCCGACUAUUUAUUCCAUACUUCAACAAAAACACCACUCUCCGGUGGUAACGACACACAUACCCGAAGAUGAUUUCAAUGGUGGCAGCUCAUAAUAGGUUGGCGACGACAGCUGGCUUCGGCUGAGGUCUCGGCUCGGUCAUGGCAUCGACUGGAAACUGGAAGGACUGUUGGCGGCUUGGUGUUAAUUUAGAGUUCAAAUUCGGGCCUGGUUAGUCUUCGGGUAUUCAAGUUGAUUUUCUAGGCUCCGGGAUUUGUUGUAAUAUGAGUUUGUAAAUUGGGCCUGCAAAUGUAAAAUAAAAUAAUAAUAAUAAUAAUAAUAAUAAAAUAUUAAAAGACGAGACGAAAA